rnacentral:rRNA from 1 species
AGUGAACGCUGGUGGCAGGCCUAACACAUGCAAGUCGAACGGCAGCACAGAGGAGCUUGCUCCUUGGGUGGCGAGUGGCGGACGGGUGAGGAAUGCGUCGGAAUCUGCCUUUUUGUGGGGGAUAACGUAGGGAAACUUACGCUAAUACCGCAUACGACCUACGGGUGAAAGUGGGGGACCGCAAGGCCUCACGCAGAAAGAUGAGCCGACGCCGGAUUAGCUAGUUGGCGGGGUAAAGGCCCACCAAGGCGACGAUCCGUAGCUGGUCUGGGAGGAUGAUCAGCCACACUGGGACUGAGACACGGCCCAGACUCCUACGGGAGGCAGCAGUGGGGAAUAUUGGACAAUGGGCGCAAGCCUGAUCCAGCCAUGCCGCGUGUGUGAAGAAGGCCUUCGGGUUGUAAAGCACUUUUGUCCGGAAAGAAAUCCUUUCGAUUAAUACUCGGGAGGGAUGACGGUACCGGAAGAAUAAGCACCGGCUAACUUCGUGCCAGCAGCCGCAGUAACAC